rnacentral:rRNA from 1 species
GACGAACCGUGCGAACGUUAUUCGGAAUCACUGGGCUUAAAGCGCGUGUAGGCGGAUGGGAACGUCGGUCGUUGAAAGCCCCCCGGCUCAACCGGGGAAUGGGCGCCGAAACGACCCGUCUGGGAGGGACGGUAGGGGGGACCUGGAACCUCCGGUGGAGCGGUGAAAUGCGUUGAGAUCGGAAGGAACGCCCGUGGCGAAAGCGAGGUCCUGGACGUC